UACGGAGGGGGCUAGCGUUGUUCGGAAUUACUGGGCGUAAAGCGCACGUAGGCGGCUUUGCAAGUUAGAGGUGAAAGCCCGGGGCUCAACUCCGGAAUUGCCUUUAAGACUGCAUCGCUUGAAUCCGGGAGAGGUGAGUGGAAUUCCGAGUGUAGAGGUGAAAUUCGUAGAUAUUCGGAAGAACACCAGUGGCGAAGGCUGCUCACUGGACCGGUAUUGACGCUGAGGUGCGAAAGCGUGGGGAGCAAACAGG
rnacentral:rRNA from 1 species